AAGGCUUUAAGUUAAAUAUUAAACUAAUAACCUUCAAAGCUAAAAAUAGAGAAAUUAAUCUUUAAGCCUUA
rnacentral:tRNA from 1 species